rnacentral:rRNA from 1 species
GAUGAACGCUGGCGGCGUGCCUAAUACAUGCAAGUCGAGCGAACAGACGAGGAGCUUGCUCCUCUGACGUUAGCGGCGGACGGGUGAGUAACACGUGGAUAACCUACCUAUAAGACUGGGAUAACUUCGGGAAACCGGAGCUAAUACCGGAUAAGAUAUUGAACCGCAUGGUUCAAUAGUGAAAGACGGUGUUGCUGUCACUUAUAGAUGGAUCCGCGCCGCAUUAGCUAGUUGGUAAGGUAACGGCUUACCAAGGCGACGAUGCGUAGCCGACCUGAGAGGGUGAUCGGCCACACUGGAACUGAGACAUGGUCCAGACUCCUACGGGAGGCACCAGUAGGGAAUCUUCCGCAAUGGGCGAAAGCCUGACGGAGCAACGCCGCGUGAGUGAUGAAGGUCUUCCGAUCGUAAAACUCUGUUAUUAGGGAAGAACAAAUGUGUAAGUAACUAUGCACGUCUUGACGGUACCUAAUCAGAAAGCCACGGCUAACUACGUG